GCUUACGUCCAUACCACCCUGAACACGUCUGAUCUCGGAAACUAAGCAGGGUCAGUCCUGGUUAGUACUUGGAUGGGAGACCACUUUGGAAUACCAGGUGCUGUAAGCU
rnacentral:rRNA from 1 species